UACGUAGGUGGCAAGCGUUGUCCGGAAUUAUUGGGCGUAAAGCGCGCGCAGGCGGUCCUUUAAGUCUGAUGUGAAAGCCCACGGCUCAACCGUGGAGGGUCAUUGGAAACUGGGGGACUUGAGUGCAGGAGAGAAGAGUGGAAUUCCACGUGUAGCGGUGAAAUGCGUAGAGAUGUGGAGGAACACCGGUGGCGAAGGCGGCAUCCUGGACCAACACUGACGCUGAGGAGCGAAAGCCAGGGGAGCAAACGGG
rnacentral:rRNA from 1 species